rnacentral:rRNA from 1 species
AGUAAUGCGUGACCAACCUGCCCCAUGCUCCAGAAUAGCUCUUGGAAACGGGUGGUAAUGCUGGAUGCUCCAACUUGACGCAUGUCUUGCUGGGAAAGUGUUUAGUGGCAUGGGAUGGGGUCGCGUCCUAUCAGCUUGUAGGCGGGGUAAUGGCCCACCUAGGCUUCGACGGGUAGCCGGCCUGAGAGGGCGGACGGCCACAUUGGGACUGAGAUACGGCCCAGACUCCUACGGGAGGCAGCAGCG